rnacentral:lncRNA from 1 species
AUCUUUUUUUUUCCUGUUAAAAAUAGAUAUAGAAGAUCACCACCCACUUUUCUCUUCCUCUUGCUUUAGAUGUAGAUGUGAUGUCUGGAACUCAUGCAGCUAUCUUGCAACGACCAGGAUGAGGCUAAGAGAAUAGGAGAGAUCCUUGCUCAAACAGGCUGAACUCGAGUAUUUCGGGCACUAAGAAGGAAGGACAAAGAUCCCUGGAGAACUCUCCUGUGGUGUCCUUGUUUUGAGUAGCAAUGGAGAUUCAUCUCAGCCAUCCCCUCAGGAAUACAGCUGUGUCAUCACAUCCCGUGGCAUCCUAAUAUGUCAUACUAAGCUGUAAACCAAUUAGGAAUGACUACUGACUGUGCUGACUCAUGGGAAGAGAAGGGGAUUAUGUGUCCUUCAGGACUUACCUGUGCUGCUCCAGAAGCUGGGAUUGCCACAGAACAGAGACUGCAUAAGCUAAACUCUUCUAGGAACCAAAGCAGAAGCUCAUCAAGAGAGUUACCCCAUUUUUCAGACGUGGAUUGUUGUCUGAGAGUGUUUAGGAGGUAAAACAAGUGCAAGUUGCCUCACAAGGUCAAUUGAUAGUUAUAGCUGGUGGCAGAGAAUCAGAUAAUGUUGCUUUUCCUUUGAAUUGUACUUUUCUUCCAACUGUCCCGCAUGGUUCACAAUCUACAGUUGUGGGGUGAUCUCAUUUGUAAUUCCAAUACAUGAUGAAGUUUGUAUUGUUAUCUGCUGAUCCACAGAAAAAGCAAAUUAACUGAAGGCCUAAUAAAAGGUAACUUGGCUGGGUGUGGUGGCUCAUCCCUAUAAUCCCAGCACUUUGGGAGGCCAAGGUGGGAGGAUUGCUUGAGUCCAGGAGUUUGAGACCAGCCUGGGCAACCUAGGGAGAUUCUGUCUCUACAAAAAUUAAAAAAAAAAAGAAGCCAGGCAUGGUGUCAUGUACCUGUGGUCCCAGCUACUCGAGAGGUGGGAGCAUUGCUUGAGCCCAGGAGGUCGAGGCUACAGUGAGCUAUGAUUGUACGACUGAACUCCAGCCUGGGCAACAGAGUAAGACCCUGUUUCAAAAAAAAAAAAAGAAAAAAGGCAAUUCAAGCUACACAUAGUGGCUCCCUUCCAAAGAAUAUGUUAUGAAAAGAGGGAAAAAAUGAGAGUGGGGAAACCUGAAAACUCUGCCUCAAGGCCAACAUCCAUGGUGAUAAGCCAUGCUGGUAGUGCGUACCCUUGAUAUGAUGUCAUGAGAAU